UACAGAGGUCUCAAGCGUUGUCCGGAUUUACUGGGUGUAAAGGGUGCGCAGGCGGACUGAUAAGUCAGGAGUGAAAUCUCGGCGCUUAACGCCGAAACGUCUUUUGAUACUGUUGGUCUUGAAUUAGAGAGAGAUUCGUGGAAUUCCGAGUGUAGCAGUGAAAUGUGUAGAUAUUCGGAAGAACACCAGUGGCGAAGGCAGCGAAUUGGCUCUAUAUUGACGCUCAGGCACGAAAGCAUGGGGAUCGAAACAGG
rnacentral:rRNA from 1 species